ACACGAAUUCUGAAAACGAUGUAACAAGCUUUUGAUUGGAUUAACAGACGAUAAAGGAAUCUAUUAACAAUGAGUGGGCAUAUCUGAAGCCGACCAAAGGGGUCUUUAAUUGGUGAAAGAAGGAGAAUGAUGGAUGAGUAACUGAGCAUUGGGUACACAUUUGCAUCUAAGAAGUGCCUAUACUGCUUCAUCGCCGUUUCUCUCUCUGGGAGAUCCGGUGUUAUGCAGUCGUAAGGGCUCGGUUUGCUCGUGUCUACAAAUGGCUCCCAUCGGUAUCCUGGCCUAUUCGGUAGCGAAACAAGUGUGGCUAAAUGACUGGUGUUGAAGGCCACAUAGAUUUCUUUCUUCACAGAAUCGACCUACCGAAAAACAAAAGGGAUUAAUAUCACCCACUAAGGAAACUGUCCAUGUAAGAGAAGGGGUAUGAGAAAAUGGUACCAGUGAAAAUGCAACAAAUCGACUUGUUUCAGACCAAUUUGGGAUCUCAGGAGCAAGACCAUGCCACUGCAGACGCUUUGCUGUUGGGAAAUCAUUCAAGCCAAGUGAUUCACAUUCACUACAAUACAGUCAUAAUGGCCAUCGAUCAGAGGAAACCCGAGAAACAGGGGAUUGCAAAAGAAAGAAAACACAUAGCAGUAGGUGAAAAGGAAGAAGCAUGUCAAUUAUUGGAUUUGAGACUAAGUGAAGCGAUCAACUAAGCAAUUAAGAUCGAUAGACUCAUGAAAGAAGAUUACAUACUCACGAAACUUGAUAAGAAUACGGCAGAAUCUGAAGAAGUCAGAAUGUGCUUCUUCCUUUUUAUCCCACCGAAAAUAGUUCAUCUGCAUCAGAGUUGUGUUAAUGUCGGAAAGCUAAGAUCGAAAAAAUUACUUAUAAUCACCCUGGAAGCAAAGCAUAAGGGGUUUACAUAGUUGUCAUGGCAAUACGUGUUGUUGUUUCCCCCUUUAGUAUGGCCAUAUUCAUCUCCCAUGUAAAUCAUUGGGACACCCUGGUGAUUAAUAGUUCAGAAAGACAGAAAAGGAAAAGGUUAAGCAAUACACUAAUUUCAAUGAAAACCGGAGCAUCACAAUCUGACAAAGCAGUA